GAGAAGAGAACACAAAAAGAAUGAAUGCUUAUUCUACAAGCCAUUGGUGAAGAAUUAUGAAGUUCCUACCCUAAUGAAGCUUACACUGAAGGGCAAUGAAAGAUGGAGACAACACAGAUACCUGAUUCCAUGUCUGCUUUUUGGAAGUCCAAUACCUUUUUGAUGACUUCUCUCAAAGGUGGCCUGUUUCUUUCUGCCUGGAAGCUUUGGGGAAUCUUCCUUCCCUUUAUCCCUGGAGUUCUGAAAUCUCCUGUGGCUCUGAUUUCAUUCACUGUGGGGCACCCAGGGAGCCCUUAUAAUGUGCAAACUGAUGUACUUCAGUUCUGGGAUUCUAUCUAGAGUUAGUUUCUCUAUUUUCUCUUUUUGAAACUUUCAUUUAGCUGAUAUUUCUCUUAUUUAUUAUCUUAAAAAAUUAGCUGCACCUCUUGGAUAGGUAUCCGAUUUUUGUACCAAUUUUUUUUUUACUUUUCCUACUUAUCAAUUUUUUUGUAUGUUUUGUUCUCUGAUCGAUUUCCUCAACUUCAUCUUUUAACCCACCUAUUAAAUUUUUUUGUCAUUUUAUUUGUUAACCUCCAUGAGUUCUUUCCUCUUCUCUGAAUGUUCUAAGGUGCAUCCUGAGAUAUAUAUAAUAAAUAUAAUACACAUAUAUAUUCCUGAGAUAUAUUUACAUACAUACAUAUAUAGAAAU